rnacentral:rRNA from 1 species
GAUGAACGCUGGCGGCGUGCCUAAUACAUGCAAGUCGAGCGAACGGAUGAGGAGCUUGCUCCUCUGACGUUAGCGGCGGACGGGUGAGUAACACGUGGAUAACCUACCUAUAAGACUGGGAUAACUUCGGGAAGCCGGAGCUAAUACCGGAUAAUAUAUUGAACCGCAUGGUUCAAUAGUGAAAGACGGUUUUGCUGUCACUUAUAGAUGGAUCCGCGCCGCAUUAGCUAGUUGGUAAGGUAACGGCUUACCAAGGCAACGAUGCGUAGCCGACCUGAGAGGGUGAUCGGCCACACUGGAACUGAGACACGGUCCAGACUCCUACGGGAGGCAGCAGUAGGGAAUCUUCCGCAAUGGGCGAAAGCCUGACGGAGCAACGCCGCGUGAGUGAUGAAGGUCUUCGGAUCGUAAAACUCUGUUAUUAGGGAAGAACAAAUGUGUAAGUAACUAUGCACGUCUUGACGGUACCUAAUCAGAAAGCCACGGCUAACUACGUG